ensembl:lncRNA
GAAUGUAGAAUUGGCCCUAAAGCAUGCUGCAGAAUUAAUAAUUUAUAUCUUCAUUAUUAUAAAUGUUGAUAUUAAUGAUCUUGCAUUUGAUUGUGUCAAAUUCGUCACCAUUUCAUAGCAACAGUAUUGUUUUUUGUUUUUCUUCUCUAACUUCCCUAAAAUCACCUCCUUUAAUAGGGAUAGAAAUUAUAAUUAGAAUCAGCUAUCUCUUUUAUCCCCACACAUCAAUUAUUUUAUCAAUACUAGAUAAGCAUUCACAUGAUGACUUCAUGGAUACCUACAACUGAGAAGAAAGUGACAGAAGAUUAUUUUGACUUUAGUUCAAAUAAUGUUCCUCAGUCUGGGUAAAUGAUAAUAAAUUCACAUAUUUGAAAUAAAAUCUCUGAAAAGAUUAAGCAUAUUGAAAUGCUAUUAAAGUGGAGAGCAACAGCGCUUGAGUGUUUCACACUUAAGUUAAUGUACACAUUUGGAUGAUGGUUUUCCUUGCUAAAUAACAUACUGUUAAUAUUUUCACUUUUUUCAGACAUACUGUAAUUUAAAAUUACUAUGAGCACUUGUAAAUUCACAGAAAACUUAAUGUUCAAAUCUCAGGAAUUAAAGAGUAACCAUAGCAUUGUCAGUUCUAAUUAAAUUUUGUAAAUGGCAAGUUUGUUACCUCACUUGAGUGGGGCUUCCCUCUCCCCAAUUCUAAGAGAACACAAUAUGUAUAAUAAAACAUUAAUAAAUACAAUUUCAAAAAUUUACUCCCCCUGUAUGCUUAUGUUCAAAAUUGAAUGUCUUAAACUGGUAGUUCUUAACAUUAACCUUUUUGGAGUUCCCUUUAAUAAAAUAUAUGGAAUUUAUUUUUAAAAAAUACUUGCAUGCACAUAGGCAAAAAUUUCAAGUAUAACAUUGGUAUUGGCUCCUCUCCAUGUAUCCCAGUUGAAGAACUUUUGUUUUCUUUCCUUUGUACAUUCUUGAUCUUUCUAUUGCUUGCUAUUUUUAAAUAAAAAGAAAACAGAUGAAUGUUUAAUUUUAAAUCCUAAUCCUGGGAUCAUUAGUUUGCAGUGUUAAGUAUUAGAAACAACUGUAAUGCCAUUUGAAAACAUGAGUUGAACUGAAACAAUCAUCAUCAUAAGUGAGACCCUUUUAAAUAUCACACUGAAGAGACAUGAGCCUUUAAAUAUUACACAUUGUUCUUGGUGCAGUCUAGUUGCUGCUCCUCUCUCCUGAGGUAGUAAA